AUAUACAUUUCUUUAAACAUAAUCUAACUCUCAUUUGAUCAUUGACAACACAUUAUUAUGAUAGUUUUGCUCGUGGCAACUAGGAUGAGAAUUCCAGUUCUUCGGUUAUGUGGCAAUCACGCAAAUUUCCGAGUUUCACGAGUUUGGAAUCGGUGUUUCUCCUCGCAACUUGGCUUUGACCACUUAGUAGUAAUCCUUUGCAUCUUGAGUUGUAAUGUUGUUUUUAUAUUUCUGUAGAUUGUUUUAAUCUGUUUCUAGUUUUUUCGGUAGUUCUGUCACAAAUCAAAAAUGAUAUAUAAUUUUACUUUUUACCAAAAGGUAAAAAAAAAAAACACAUUAUGAUGAUCGAAUGACACUCUAAAAUACAGAAGUCUCU
rnacentral:sRNA from 1 species